CUAUUGUGGGCGCGGAUCGUGGGGGCACCACUCUUACUUUCACGGUGGAUUUCCCAAGAUCCGUGAUUGCAGUUCA
rnacentral:pre_miRNA from 1 species